rnacentral:lncRNA from 1 species
UUUUUUUCCCAAGAAGUGUUUGAAGAACCCACAAGAGCCUGGGAAUGGCUGGGGGUGAGCUAGGCCUAGAUGGCAGACGGCACCUGUGAGGGAACCUCAAACCUGAGGGGCCCUGGGGCGCCUGGUGGUGUGCUCAUGCUAAAGGAGGAGCGUAAGCAUCUGCAAACCCAGCGGAGUCUGACCAUAUUGUACCUGCACUCGGCUUUAUCCUGCUUAUUUUUGUCAAAAGCUCAAAGCAGUGAGUUUCAGACAGCCGUGUAAGGCAUCUGAUCUGUAUGUGUGUGAAGCUUUGGUUGUCUGUGUGCAUGCGUUAAAGGAAGAGAGCUAGUAGGAACAGAUGUGGGGAAAGUCAGUAAAAAAAAAAAAAACUCAAUAUGAACCCUGCAGAGGCCUUCCUUUCUCUCUGUUCAAUUAUUUAGAGUCAAAGAAAAGAGGCAGGAGUAACAUAUUUCCUCAGAAGCCACUGUGUUCGGCGGGAAUGAAUAACAUAUUUAUCUAGUCUCAUCUUUGCCAAAUAGCCGGAAAUGGAAACAAAUACCUUCAAUUGGAUUCUUGGCUCUGGUGUUUUCCUUGAGCUGCCGCUAUGUGUACUCAUGCAGUCAUAUUGAAAAAUUCCUCAGGACCAAAAAAUUAUGGAAGUGCUGACAAGUAGAAUUUUUCAUAGUAUCUAGAUGUACACUUGGCAGUUACAGGCAAAGCUUAUCUGCUCCCAUCUCCUGUGAUGGGAGGAGGAGGGAGAGAGAGAGAGAGUGGGAGAUAGAGAGAGGGAGGAGGAAAAAGUGUUCACCUAUUUAAUUUGAUUAGAGAUUAGAAGAGGAAAAGAGUCACAUUUCCUCCCUGGCACGUCUCUACUUGGCGCACUCUGACACCUGAUUUUAUAAAGAGAUGUCACAGCCAAGCACGGCGGUAAUGCCGGUAAUUACUCUGAACUCAAAUAAAUAAAUAAAUUUGCUUUUCUUUGUGAGAGUCUGACAGGUUUUCCAACAUCCUUGACUGGAAAAAAAAAAUGCAGUGCAUGUGCGCAAGUAGGCGUGCGCUUUUUUUGCGGUUGUUUAUUUGGAUGUGUGUCUUUGUGUGGGUGUGUGCUUGUGUUUACAUAUAGUGAGGCACUUGUAAAGGAGAAACUCAGACAGGAUGAAAAUUUUGACAGCUACAGUAUAGCUUGUUUUCUCUUCUCUUCUUCUGUUUUUUUUUUUUUUUUUGACUGUGAUAAUCUGCUGAGCCGUGCGCGCUGAAGGCAAACCUCCGUUUGAGACUGAUAAGGUUCGAGAUACAGCUUUGUAAAUAAUAAGGUUAGAGUUUCUGCACAGUUGCUAGUGCCUCGGCUGAUCUCGCUCCUAUUAGUGACAAUUGGCUUUGACCUCACCUGCUCACCCAUGCUGUCGUCACCGAGGGUGUAUCUGCAGCAGCAGGCUAUUAGAUCAUCCACUCUGGUCAUAGAAGGAGACAUCCAGACAAACGCUGCACU